rnacentral:tmRNA from 2 species
GGGCUUGUACUGGUUUCGACGGGGGCUUUGAAGUUGGGGAAGCCAUCCGCAGACUCUUGGACUGCGUACCAACCAGGAACCUAAAUAUAAACGCAAACGAACAGUACGCGUUAGCAGCCUAAGUGCUGCUCGUCAGCCCUGACGCACUCACACAUCAGGAAUCUGGCGCCGACUAUGUGAGAAACCUUGCCGGGUAAGCUUUGCCCCGGUAGAUGUAUUAUGAAGCUACUGAAGCAGUAAGCCUGUCGGUGGGCGUACUGCCAAGGGAAUGUUAAAUCAGCGACUGUGAUGGGAGAUGCCGCAAGGGAUAGGCUUUCGGACGCGGGUUCAAUUCCCGCCAGGUCCACUA